GGGCACGCUGCAACUGCCGCUGCUGGGAGGCGGGAGCCUGGGAGUGGGACCUGAUGGCUUUGUGUCCGGAAGCAGACUGUAGCAGAAGGAGCGCUUUUGACAUACAGUAGUGAAGGUGCCGCACUGUUCUACUUGUUAAAGGAUCCCCAUGGUCACAUGGCCGGACCCAUGAUGUCACUUCUAGUGGAAGUGUGCAACCCGGAAGUGAGUACACCGGAGAUGGGGGCAGCGUUUCUGCUGAGAUCCUUGGUGGUGAUUCCUGUUGGAGGAAAGUGAUCAAUAGCGCAAUCGCAAGAAGAUUGACAGUGGGGAGGCGUUCCGGUGUGUCUACUCACCGUUUUCCAGGUGUGGAGAUCCGAACGCAGGCGUCUCCAGGCGUUUGGAGGGUGGAUGUCUGACGUCAAUCCCAGGACCUUCGUCACUGGAUCCGUCGCACAGGAGAUUGUUUUAGCUUGCUUCAUCCAGAACACACAUCGCACCGCUGCCUGUACACAGUGACCACCUGGGAGCUGGACUGUUUAUACUGGUUUUUCUGUCUCAGAAAUAAGACCUUAUGCAGACCACUAAGAAACAGGAUGAAAUAACCUGGCUGGAUAGGAAUUACUUGAAAAUGCUGUUGUAAAUGGUAGAUACACACUUCAAGUACUAACAAUACUAAUAAUCAGAACAAUUAUAAUAAACUCUACAAUUUUACAUGAA